rnacentral:tRNA from 1 species
AAUUUAGUGGUGUAUAUAACAUUAUAAAUUGUAAAUUUAUAGAAGCUCAGACCUAAAUUA